rnacentral:misc_RNA from 1 species
GAUGAAGAACGUAGCGAAAUGCGAUAAGUAAUGUGAAUUGCAGAAUUCAGUGAAUCAUCGAAUCUUUGAACGCACAUUGCGCCCUCUGGUAUUCCGGAGGGCAUGCCUGUUCGAGCGUCAUUUCGACCCUCAAGCAUUGCUUGGUGUUGGGGCACCGCCUGUAAAAGGGCGGGCCCUGAAAUCUAGUGGCGAGCUCGCCAGGACCCCGAGCGUAGUAAUUAUAUUUCGUUCUGGAAGGCCCUGGCGGUGCCCUGCCGUUAAACCCCCAACUUCUGAAAAUUUGACCUCGGAUCAGGUAGGAAUACCCGCUGAACUUAAGCAUAUCCAAUAAGCGGAGGA